UUCCUACGGGGGGCUGCAGUGGGGAAUAUUGCACAAUGGGCGCAAGCCUGAUGCAGCCAUGCCGCGUGUAUGAAGAAGGCCUUCGGGUUGUAAAGUACUUUCAGCGGGGAGGAAGGCGAUAAGGUUAAUAACCUUGUCGAUUGACGUUACCCGCAGAAGAAGCACCGGCUAACUCCGUGCCAGCAGCCGCGGUAAUACGGAGGGUGCAAGCGUUAAUCGGAAUUACUGGGCGUAAAGCGCACGCAGGCGGUCUGUCAAGUCGGAUGUGAAAUCCCCGGGCUCAACCUGGGAACUGCAUUCGAAACUGGCAGGCUAGAGUCUUGUAGAGGGGGGUAGAAUUCCAGGUGUAGCGGUGAAAUGCGUAGAGAUCUGGAGGAAUACCGGUGGCGAAGGCGGCCCCCUGGACAAAGACUGACGCUCAGGUGCGAAAGCGUGGGGAGCAAACAGGAUUAGAUACCCCAGUAGUC
rnacentral:rRNA from 1 species